AUAUUUACCUGGCAGGGGAGAUACCAUGAUCACGAAGGUGGUUUUCCCAGGGCGAGGCUUAUCCAUUGCACUCCGGAUGUGCUGACCCCUGCGAUUUCCCCAAAUGUGGGAAACUCGACUGCAUAAUUUGUGGUAGUGGGGGACUGCGUUCGUGCUCUCCCCUG
rnacentral:snRNA from 1 species